GAUGAACGCUGGCGGCGUGCCUAACACAUGCAAGUCGAGCGAACGCACGUGAAGCUUUCUUUUCUGAUGUUAGCGGCGGACGGGUGAGUAACACGUGCAUCACCUACUUAUAUGUCUGGGAUAACUUCGGUAAACCAGAGCUAAUACCGGCUAAUAUUUUGAACCGCAUGGUUCAAAAGUUUUUGCUGCUCUUGCUGCUUCUUUUAGAUGAAUUCGCGCUGCAUUAGCUAGUUGGUAAGGUAACGGCUUACCAAGGCAACGAUGCGUAGCCGGCCUGAGAGGAUGAUCAGCCACACUGGAACUGAGACACGGUCCAGACUCCUACGGGAGGCAGCAGUGGGGAAUAUUGGACAAUGGGCGAAAGCCUGACGGAGCAAUGCCGCGUGGGGGAUGAAGGCCUUCGGGUCGUAAAGCGCUGUUGUUAGGGAAGAAAAGAUGUGGGAGAAAAUGUGCACGUCUUGACGGUACCUAAAGAGAAAGCAACGGCUAACUACGUG
rnacentral:rRNA from 1 species